rnacentral:rRNA from 1 species
UACGAACUGUGCGAACGUUAUUCGGAAUCACUGGGCUUACAGGGUGCGUAAGCGGCUUGUUAAGUAGGGUGUGAAAGCCCCCGGCUCAACCGGGGAAUGGCGCCCUAAACUGGCGAGCUAGAGUGAGAUAGGGGUGUGUGGAACUUCCGGUGGAGCGGUGAAAUGUGUUGAUAUCGGAAGGAACGCCGGUGGCGAAAGCGACACACUGGAUCUUGUCUGACGCUGAGGCACGAAAGCCAGGGGAGCGAACGGG